rnacentral:rRNA from 1 species
UACAGAGACUGCAAGCGUUAUUCGGAUUCACUGGGCGUAAAGGGUGCGCAGGCGGCCGAGUGUGUGAGGCGUGAAAGCCCGGGGCUUAACCCCGGAAUUGCACCUCAAACUACCCGGCUAGAGCAUUGGAGAGGGUAGCAGAAUUCAUGGUGUAGCAGUGAAAUGCGUAGAUAUCAUGAGGAAUACCAGAGGCGAAGGCGGCUACCUGGACAAUUGCUGACGCUCAGGCACGAAAGCGUGGGGAGCAAAAGGG